CGCAGCUGCUAACACAUCUUUCAGAUUGGUUAGCGCGUGAGACUUUUACGUACAAUGUACGAUGAAAUCUCAAGGCUCAGGGUUCGAGUCCCUGGUCGGGCGU